CUAGUCUGCGGGGUCCGGGGCUGUCUGUCGGCUGCCCCCUUAGUUUAACCUCUGGCCCCAAACCCAGACUUCUAGGUGCCUGGUGCCUGGAUCUGCUCGCCCGCCAGGACCACAGCCCUCUCCUGACCCUGACUCAUUCUGUCACUGAGGCCGAAACAGAGGCGGCGGUCUAGGCAUAGGGCGGAGUAGGCGCAGAUCCGGGGAGGAACGUGCGGGACCCUUGGUCAGCAAGGGGCGAGAGGACUUCCGCGCGCGGGCCGACACGUGGACGGGGCUUCCGGGGAUGGGGGCGUGCAAAGGCGUCCAGGAGCUGUCCAGGUGCCGGGACGCCCUACUUGGUCAGGUCUCACGCCCCUCAAGGAGGAGCCCCGGGUGGGGGCGUGUAGAGUUAGCCCUCGGGCUUACAAUAGCCAGGACCCCAGACGACCACCGCCCACCGGCUGAGAUGGCGGCGCGCGGCGCAUUGUGGGCAAUGUAGUCCACGGCUCGGCGACGCUGCCCCUCCCCGCUAGCUGCAGAGCCCGCCGCGAAGCGCAAACUUGCUUGGGACGCGCCCCUCCGGGAUGGCUGGGUUCUGCUGGGCGCGGCCCUAAGCACCCCGCAGCUUGAACGUGUGCAAAGGAGGAAACUCGGGUGCAAAGAGCUAGCAUGUGGGGGAACCAAAACUUACGAUGAUAAAGACAGCGAGUUUUGGUGGCAGAGAGCGCUGAGGACUUCGUUUGCUAAUACCCAAACUUGGGACAGCCUGCUCCUUAACAAACCUACAGGUCUUGGGAAACUAUCGAGUCCCUAGAGAGCCCCAGCCCCUAAAAUUGUCAGAUUCAGGCAGACAACUCCAUCGUAUUGGUUAAACAAAUGACCAUAAAAGAAUGAUGGACUUUAUUUAAA